AAGACUAUGCUUUCAGGGAUCAUUUCUAUAGUUUCUAAACUGGGAAAUGUGUUUUGAAAGAGUUGAGUCUCUAGAACCACGAUGAAGAGUGUUGAUGUGCUUCUCUGAGCAUGAAUCAAGGAAUGGUUGCUGAUCAUUAUCACAGAUCAUUGCUAUUGAUGAAUGUUCUUUCAAUUAAAAGUUAUAGUUUACGAGAUGGCGCCUGUGAGU